UUGUACGUCUCAAUGACGACGCAUUUAGGUCGCAUUACCGAUUAGCGGAUGAAAUUGUGUGCAAGGCGUAGUAUGUAUAUUUAAUUUGUAAUAUGAAUAAAACUAUUUGCAGUUUUUGUUCACUUCUUAAAUAAGAUCGGACACAAAGAUGAUUUGAGUGAUGAAAUAUGCAAUGUGAACUUCUGGAUAUUUGUUUGGUACUUCAAGCUUUUUAUUUACUCAAAGUCGUUAUGUUGAAGAAAAGUGCGGCCAAAGUCAAUUUCGUCAAAAGAUUAAUAAACUACUGAGAUUUCCAGAGAAAUCACGUACUAACGAUGAAGCCAACAUCGACAUUGAACGAUUCCAGUUUACGUGAUAGGCAGAAAAACUACCAGGGCUACAUUUCCAAAACAAGGACGAUUCCUAAGAUUACCUAUUGCAACCCUCCCUUUUUCAAGCCGUACAGGGUUUUACCCGGAAUUAGGAAAACCAAAGUAGGCACGGGCUCGGCGACAUGGUGUUUUGUUUUGCGUGUGACGGUUGUCUGCAGCAGUUGGAAGAAGGAGGAGACAAUUGGAUUGAGCACUGCCGUGAGUUUUCGGGCUGUCCUUUUGUCAAGCCCACCGAGGGGGAUGAGUACAUUGAUGAGAACCAGGCCCCAAUUUCUCGAAACUUCUUAAGCUUAACAGGCUUAAGUCGCUUAUUUCAAUUAGCCAAAAUACAUACUGAAAAUGGAUUUUGAUAAAUGAAAAAUGGUUUAUUCUGAUAAUCAUACAGAUUUUUCCUACAUAAUUUCUGAAAAUUCUUUAAGAAGUAAAUAGAACACAUUUUAUAGAACAACAAAAAUAGUGAGAUUAGCUUAAUCCUGUUAUAAGGGACUUAAGAAGUUUCGAGAAAUUGGGGGCUGAACCAGGCGUCCAUUCAUCAAGCAAAGGAGCUUCAAGAAGCGAACAAUUUAGAUGCAGACAUUAUUACACAGUACAGAGAGCACGGUAGGUUUAAGUAUUGAUAACAA